rnacentral:misc_RNA from 1 species
UUUCCGUAGGUGAACCUGCGGAAGGAUCAUUAACACGAAUUAUUUAUUAUCCAAUAUCAAAAACCAAACGUGAACCUUUUCCCUCCCUAUAUAUAUAUAUAUAUAUAGGCUAACCUCAUUUAAUUAAUUUUUAACACUUUAAACUUUAACUAGUUUUAAUGUAGCCAUUAAAACAUCUAAACUAAAAAAGACAAGGUUAUUCGAAAGAGUAAACUUUAACUUUUUUCGAUUUACGAAAAAUUUAAAAGAACAACUCUUAACAAUGGAUAUCUUGGUUCUC